rnacentral:rRNA from 1 species
AGUUUGAUCCUGGCUCAGGACGAACGCUGGCGGCGUGCUUAACACAUGCAAGUCGAGCGGAAAGGCCCUUUCGGGGGUACUCGAGCGGCGAACGGGUGAGUAACACGUGAGUAAUCUGCCCUUCACUUUGGGAUAACUACCGGAAACGGUGGCUAAUACCGGAUACGACAUCUCCUCGCAUGGGGUGGGUGUGGAAAGUUUUUUCGGUGGGGGAUGUGCUCGCGGCCUAUCAGCUUGUUGGUGGGGUAAUGGCCUACCAAGGCUUCGACGGGUAGCCGGCCUGAGAGGGUGACCGGCCACACUGGGACUGAGACACGGCCCAGACUCCUACGGGAGGCAGCAGUGGGGAAUAUUGGACAAUGGGCGGAAGCCUGAUCCAGCAACGCCGCGUGAGGGAUGACGGCCUUCGGGUUGUAAACCUCUUUCAGUACCGACGAAGCGCCGGUAAUGGUGGUGACGGUAGGUACAGAAGAAGCACCGGCCAACUACGUGCCAGCAGCCGCGGUAAUACGUAGGGUGCGAGCGUUGUCCGGAAUUAUUGGGCGUAAAGGGCUCGUAGGCGGUUUGUCGCGUCGGGAGUGAAAACGCCGGGCUUAACUCGGUGCUUGCUUUCGAUACGGGCAGACUAGGGGCAUGCAGGGGAGAACGGAAUUCCUGGUGUAGCGGUGAAAUGCGCAGAUAUCAGGAGGAACACCGGUGGCGAAGGCGGUUCUCUGGGCAUGUCCUGACGCUGAGGAGCGAAAGUGUGGGGAGCGAACAGGAUUAGAUACCCUGGUAGUCCACACCGUAAACGUUGGGCGCUAGGUGUGGGGCCUAUUCCAUGGGUUCCGUGCCGCAGCUAACGCAUUAAGCGUCCCGCCUGGGGAGUACGGCCGCAAGGCUAAAACUCAAAGGAAUUGACGGGGGCCCGCACAAGCGGCGGAGCAUGCGGAUUAAUUCGAUGCAACGCGAAGAACCUUACCUGGGUUUGACAUACGCCGGAAAGCGCCAGAGAUGGUGCCCCUUUUAGUCGGUGUACAGGUGGUGCAUGGCUGUCGUCAGCUCGUG